rnacentral:lncRNA from 1 species
GCGGGGCCAGGGCCAUUUUUGCAAAUAAUUUUUACACAGGGCUAUUUUCGAAAAUAAAAUUUUUUAUGGGGCUAUUUGCAAAAAAAGCCCUACUUUAUGUAUGUAAUUUUUUUUAGGGAAAACUUCAAGAACCUCCCUUGUGGUUUCGUACUUUUUCAUUUUAGUAUCUGUGGUAGUUUAAAGUGUAUCAAGUUAGUACCCUGUGGUUUCGCACUUUCUCACUUUAGUACCCUGUGGUAUAAAGUGUAUCAAGUUACUACUAUGUGGUUUUAUUUUUAUAUCAAGUUAGUACCCUGUGGUUUUAUUUUUGUAUCAAGUUAGUACCCUGUGAUUUUUAAAGUACAGGAUAUUAAAGUGAGAAAGUGUGAAACCACAGGGUACUAAAGUGAGAAAGUGCGAAACCACAGGGUACUAACUUGAUACACUUUAAACCACAGGAUACUAAAGUAAAAAAGUGUAAAACUACAGGGUACUAACUUGAUAAACUUUAAAUCACAGGAUACUAAAGUGAGAAAAAGUGAAACCACAAGGUGGGUAUUUGAAGUUUUCCUUUUUUUUUUUUUUUUUUUUU